rnacentral:rRNA from 1 species
UGGUGGGGUGACUUGUCUGCUUAAUUGCGAUAACGAACGAGACCUUAACCUGCUAGAUAGCCCGCAUUGCUCCGGCAGUGCGCUGGCUUCUUAGAGGGACUUUCGGCUCAAGCCGAAGGAAGUUUGAGGCAAUAACA